ensembl:snRNA U1 U1 spliceosomal RNA
AUACUUACCUGGCAGGAGAGAUACCAUGAUCAUGAAGGUGGUUUUCCCAGGGUGAGGCUUAUCCAUUGCACUCCAGAUGUGCUGACCCCUGCACAAAUGUGGGAAACUCGACUGCAUAAUUUAUGGUAGUGGGGGACUGCAUUCAUGCUUUCCCCUU